rnacentral:rRNA from 1 species
UACAGAGGUCUCGAGCGUUAGGCGGAAUCACUGGGCUUAAAGCGUGUGUAGGCGGAUCGGUAAGUACCUUGUGAAAUCCCACGGCUUAACCGUGGAACUGCUUGGUAUACUGCCAGUCUUGAGCCAGCUAGGGGCUACCGGAACAAAUGGUGGAGCGGUGAAAUGCGUAGAUAUCAGGAGGAACACCGGUGGUGUAGACGGCUCUCUGGACCGUAACUGACGCUGAGACACGAAAGCGUGGGUAGCAAACAGG